AAGCUAGGCUCCACCAGCGUCGCGAUUGCUACGGCCCGCACUGAGGCACGCGAGCCCAUCCGCUCGACUUCCCCUCCACUCCACUGAGUCCACUCCCACGAUUCCCCAUGCCCAAUCAUCACCCACCUCGCUGCUCCCCGUCCCCGGAGCAGCUCGCCGUCGCCGCCUGAGCUCCGAAUCCAAUCCGCCAUGCCGGCCGCCGAGAGCUGCCACUCCCGCAGCCUC
rnacentral:lncRNA from 1 species